GAUGAACGCUGGCGGCGUGCCUAAUACAUGCAAGUCGAGCGAACAGACGAGGAGCUUGCUCCUCUGACGUUAGCGGCGGACGGGUGAGUAACACGUGGAUAACCUACCUAUAAGACUGGGAUAACUUCGGGAAACCGGAGCUAAUACCGGAUAAUAUAUUGAACCGCAUGGUUCAAUAGUGAAAGACGGUUUUGCUGUCACUUAUAGAUGGAUCCGCGCCGCAUUGGCUAGUUGGUAAGGUAACGGCUUACCAAGGCAACGAUGCGUAGCCGACCUGAGAGGGGGAUCGGCCACCCUGGAACUGGGACACGGACCAGACGCCUACGGGAGGCAGCAGUAGGGAAUCGUCCGCAAUGGGCGAAAGCCUUACGGAGCAAGGCCGCGUGAGUGAUGAAGGUCUUCGGAUCGUAAAACUCUGUUAUUAGGGAAGAACAAAUGUGUAAGUAACUAUGCACGGCUUGACGGUACCUAAUCAGAAAGCCACGGCUAACUACGUG
rnacentral:rRNA from 1 species